CAUCUUUCAAUGGUGAUCCAUAGAAAAAUUGAACCAAAGACAGCACUCCUUCUUCUUGCUUCAAGAGUUCUAGCCUCUAGAACUCGACUAGCCCUAUAUCGGUCAGGUUUCUCUAAGAACCUAACUCAACCCUCUAAGACCCUCCUUUGGACUUCUGAUUUCUCUUCUUUAGAACCCUCACAAUCUUUAUUUGGAUCAGAUAAGGCUUUGUCUUAAAUGCCAAAGUCUUGUCCUAAAACUAAGAUAGACUGUAAGAA
rnacentral:lncRNA from 1 species